UGGGGAAUUUUGGACAAUGGGCGAAAGCCUGAUCCAGCAAUGCCGCGUGUGUGAAGAAGGCCUUCGGGUUGUAAAGCACUUUUGUCCGGAAAGAAAUCCUUGGCUCUAAUACAGUCGGGGGAUGACGGUACCGGAAGAAUAAGCACCGGCUAACUACGUGCCAGCAGCCGCGGUAAUACGUAGGGUGCAAGCGUUAAUCGGAAUUACUGGGCGUAAAGCGUGCGCAGGCGGUUUGCUAAGACCGAUGUGAAAUCCCCGGGCUCAACCUGGGAACUGCAUUGGUGACUGGCAGGCUAGAGUAUGGCAGAGGGGGGUAGAAUUCCACGUGUAGCAGUGGAAUGCGUAGAGAUGUGGAGGAAUACCGAUGGCGAAGGCAGCCCCCUGGGCCAAUACUGACGCUCAUGCACGAAAGCGUGGGGAGCAAACAGGAUUAGAUACCCUGGUAGUCCACGCCCUAAAACGAUGUCAACUAGUUGUUGGGGAUUCAUUUCCUUAGUAACGUAGCUAACGCGUGAAGUUGACCGCCUGGGGAGUACGGUCGCAAGAUUAAAACUCAAAUGAAUUGACGGGGUCAUAGCUGUUUCCU
rnacentral:rRNA from 1 species